AUGCUGCUCGGAGCGCCCAGGCUGUGCGCAUCCCGGGCGGCCGCCGCGGCGCAGAGAGAAGACGACGGCGACAGGCUGGGCGGGGACAUGGACGAGUCGUCGCUGCUGGACCUGCUGGAGUGCUCCGUGUGCUUGGAACGCCUGGACACGACGGCCAAGGUGCUGCCCUGCCAGCACACCUUCUGCCGCCGCUGCCUGGAGAGCAUCGUGAGCUCGCGUCGCGAGCUGCGCUGCCCCGAGUGCCGCAUCCUGGUGGGCUGCGGCGUGGACGAGCUGCCCGCCAACAUUCUGCUGGUGCGCCUGCUGGACGGCAUCCGCCAGCGGCCCCGCGCUGGCGCCAGCCCCGGCAGCAGUCCGCCCGCGCGUCCUGGCCCGGGCCCCAGCCCCGCUUCGGGGGCGGCCUCGGCCCUCGCGGGUGGCGGGGUCAGCUCCCCUGGAUCCCCAAUCCUCCUCCCCGCGGCUACCGGCGCCACCUCCAGCCUGCGCGAGCUGGCGACCAGCAGGAGCGCGCCCCCAGCAAAGGGCCCUCCCCCACCACCUGCCGGCAAAGCCCUGCUCAACCUCGAGGGGACAGAGCCUGGGGAACUCAGGUGUGGCGAAGGGGACGCUGUCGUCCUGCAGCGCCGGAGUGACGAGCUCUGGUACCAUGGCCUCCUGCCUGCUGGCUUCGUCCAGAGCGUGCGGCCGCUGCCCCCAGCCCCGCCCCAGGGCAAAGCGCUCUAUGAUUUCGAGAUGAAGGACAGAGACCAGGACAAAGACUGUCUGAGCUUCAGCAAGGAUGAAGUCUUGACCGUAAUCAGAAGAGUGGAUGACAACUGGGCGGAGGGGAAGCUGAGAGACAAGAUCGGGAUAUUCCCACUGCUAUACGUGGAGCUCAAUGAUGCCGCCAAGCAGCUGAUGGAGAUGGACAAGCUGGGCCUGGCCUCGGCGUCCGGCUGCCUUGCCUCCCUGCCCUCUGAGGCCGGCGCAGUGGCCAACGUGGCCCCGGGUCCCACUUCAGGCAGCACGGGGGCAGUCAGCGCCUUCCAGCGGCGUGUGGACAGCAAGAAGAACGCCAAGAAGCGGCACUCCUUCACGGCGCUCAGCGUGACGCACAAGUCCACCCAGGCCAGCGGCCACAGGCGCUCCAUGGAGAUCAGCGCCCCCGUGCUCAUCAGCUCCAGCGAUCCCCGGGCCGCGGCCAGGAUCGGGGACCUGGUGCACCUGUCCCGCAGUGCUCCUGCCCAGGACUCCUCGGCCGGAUCCACCCCAGCGACUGAACAGCAGAGCACGGCUCCCAGAGUCCAGCUGCCUCUCAAUGUGUACCUGGCGCUCUACGCCUACAAGCCCCAGAAGAGUGACGAGCUGGAGCUGCGCAAGGGCGACACGUACCGCGUCCUGGAGAAGUGCCGGGAUGGCUGGUUCAAGGGCACGGCCCUGCGCACCGGACUCUCGGGCGUGUUCCCUGGCAACUACGUGACACCCGUCUCCAGGAUUCCUGUAGGAGGGGCUGGGCCACCCCGGAAUAAUGCAGUCGGAGGGUCUCCCCUGGCCAAAGGGAUGGCCACAACCAUGCACCCAGGCGGUGGGAGUCUGAGCAGCCCAGCCACGGCCCUGAGGCCAGCCCUUCCCCUCACCACAGCCCAGGUCCCGGCCCAGCACCAGGCCGCCUCUCCCCCACUGGGCAGUUGUCUGAGGCACACCGUCCAGCCAGCAGCCAGCCAGGCCCGGAGCGCCGGCCCCACUGCUGCCCACCAGGCCCAGGUCCAGGGCCGGCCGACCGCCACGGUGUCGCCCCUGCGCACUCAGAACUCCCCGUCUCGCCUGCCCGCCAGCCUCAGGCCUCCCGCCUUGGGGUCCCCGCAGCACAGCCCCCAGCCAGUGACACAGUGCCCCCGGCCGGCCAUCCCGCUCGCCUCGGCAGCCUCGGCCGUCACCCCUCCCAAUGUCAGCGCCGCCAACCUCAACGGGGAGGCCGCAGGGGGCCCCGCCGGUGGCCUGACCGCAUCCAGCCCCACCGGCGCGGGAGGCAGAGCAGACGAGAGGAAAAACGAGAAGAAAGACAGGAAGAGUGGGCUGCUGAAGCUGCUGGCCGGUGCGUCCACCAGGAGGAAGUCACGCUCCCCACCAUCCACCUCUCCCACCCAUGACCCCCAGGCAGUGGAUGCCUCGCUCCAGGGCGCGGUGGGGCCCGAAGUGUCCUUGCUGUCCAUCCACAGCAGGGCUGGGUCCUGUCCCAUCGAAGGCGAGAUGCAGGGCGCCUUGGGGAUGGAGCCACUGCACAGGAAGGCGGGCUCAUUGGAUCUGAGCUUCCCGUCACCCACCCGACCAGCCGCGUUCUCCACAAUCGCUGUCCGCCCUGAGCCCAAGCCACUUCCCAGAGAGAGGUACCGCGUGGUGGUCUCAUACCCACCCCAGAGCGAAGCAGAGAUCGAGCUGAAGGAGGGGGAUGUGGUCUUCGUGCACAAGAAGCGUGAGGAUGGCUGGUACAAGGGGACCCUGCAGAGGAACGGCCGCACGGGCCUCUUCCCCGGCAGCUUCGUGGAGAGCUUCUGA
rnacentral:lncRNA from 1 species